rnacentral:rRNA from 1 species
CAUGCAAGUCGAACGCGAAAGUCCCGCAAGGGAUGAGUAGAGUGGCAAACGGGUGAGUAACGCUGGGUGACCUGCCUUCGAGUGGGGGAUAACGUUCCGAAAGGGACGCUAAUACCGCAUGACAUCCUGCCUUUGAGAGGCGGAGAUCAAAGCUGGGGAUCGCAAGACCUGGCGCUUGAAGAGGGGCCCGCGUCCGAUUAGCUAGUUGGUGGGGUAACGGCUCACCAAGGCUGCGAUCGGUAGCCGGCCUGAGAGGGCGGACGGCCACACUGGGACUGAGACACGGCCCAGACUCCUACGGGAGGCAGCAGUAGGGAAUUGUUCGCAAUGGGCGCAAGCCUGACGACGCAACGCCGCGUGGAGGAUGAAGACCUUCGGGUCGUAAACUCCUUUCGAUCGAGACGAAUGGCCUUUGGGCGAACAGCCUGGAGGAAUGACGGUACCGAGAGAAGAAGCCCCGGCUAACUCCGUGCCAGCAGCCGCGGUAAUACGGGGGGGGCAAGCGUUGUUCGGAAUUACUGGGCGUAAAGGGCUCGUAGGCGGCCAACUAAGUCGGACGUGAAAUCCCUCGGCUUAACCGGGGAACUGCGUCCGAUACUGGAUGGCUUGAGGUUGGGAGAGGGAUGCGGAAUUCCAGGUGUAGCGGUGAAAUGCGUAGAUAUCUGGAGGAACACCGGUGGCGAAGGCGGCAUCCUGGACCAAUUCUGACGCUGAUGAGCGAAAGCCAGGGGAGCAAACGGGAUUAGAUACCCCGGUAGUCCUGGCCCUAAACGAUGAAUGCUUGGUGUGACGGGUAUCGAUCCCUGUCGUGCCGAAGCUAACGCAUUAAGCAUUCCGCCUGGGGAGUACGGUCGCAAGGCUG